UAGGGAAUCUUCCACAAUGGACGCAAGUCUGAUGGAGCAACGCCGCGUGAGUGAAGAAGGCUUUCGGGUCGUAAAACUCUGUUGUUGGAGAAGAAUGGUCGGCAGAGUAACUGUUGUCGGCGUGACGGUAUCCAACCAGAAAGCCACGGCUAACUACGUGCCAGCAGCCGCGGUAAUACGUAGGUGGCAAGCGUUAUCCGGAUUUAUUGGGCGUAAAGCGAGCGCAGGCGGUUUUUUAAGUCUGAUGUGAAAGCCCUCGGCUUAACCGAGGAAGUGCAUCGGAAACUGGGAAACUUGAGUGCAGAAGAGGACAGUGGAACUCCAUGUGUAGCGGUGAAAUGCGUAGAUAUAUGGAAGAACACCAGUGGCGAAGGCGGCUGUCUGGUCUGUAACUGACGCUGAGGCUCGAAAGCAUGGGUAGCGAACAGGAUUAGAUACCCUGGUAGUCCAUGCCGUAAACGAUGAAUGCUAGGUGUUGGAGGGUUUCCGCCCUUCAGUGCCGCAGCUAACGCAUUAAGCAUUCCGCCUGGGGAGUACGACCGCAAGGUUGAAACUCAAAGGAAUUGACGGGGGCCCGCACAAGCGGUGGAGCAUGUGGUUUAAUUCGAAGCAACGCGAAGAACCUUACCAGGUCUUGACAUCUUUUGAUCACCUGAGAGAUCAGGUUUCCCCUUCGGGGGCAAAAUGACAGGUGGUGCAUGGUUGUCGUCAGCUCGUG
rnacentral:rRNA from 1 species